rnacentral:rRNA from 1 species
UGCGAGGGGGGCAAAUGUUGUUCGGAAUCACUGGGCGUAAAGGGCGCGUAGGCGGGUUCUUAAGUUAGGUGUUUAAUCCCGGGGCCCAACCCCGGACCGGCACUUAAAACUGGGAAUCUUGAAUAGUGGAGAGGUCGGUGGAAUUGGAGGUGUAGCGGUGGAAUGCGUAGAGAUCUCCAAGAACACCAGUUGCGAAGGCGGCCGACUGGACACAUAUUGACGCUGAGGCUCGAAAGCAUGGGGAGCAAACAGG